rnacentral:tRNA from 1 species
UAAGGUAAAGUAUAAAUUAAUACAUUUCAGUUACAUUGAAAAGACUCAAAUAUAAUUUUGGUGCCUUGA